AAUCAACGCUGGCGGCGUGCCUAACACAUGCAAGUCGAACGCGAAAGUCCCGCAAGGGAUUAGUAGAGUGGCAAACGGGUGAGUAACACGUGGGUGACCUGCCUUCGAGCGGGGAUAACAUCCCGAAAGGGAUGCUAAUACCGCAUGACAUCCUGCCUUUUAAGAGGCGGGAGAUCAAAGCCGGGGAUCGCAAGACCUGGCACUCGAAGAGGGGCCCGCGCCCGAUUAGCUAGGUUGGNGAGGUAACGGCUCACCAAGGCAACGAUCGGGUAGCCGGCCUGAGAGGGGCGACGGCCACACUGGGACUGAGACACGGCCCAGACUCCUACGGGGAGCAGCAGUGGGGAAUUG
rnacentral:rRNA from 1 species